CUUUUCCAAGGGCUAUGCUAACAUGGAGUUUAAAGGUGCCCACGUGAUUUUUCAGGUGCCCACGGAAAGCCUGAUGAUAAUAUGCAGUGUGGAGAGUUCACGUGGAGCUGGAGGGAUGGAGGUUGCAGAGAGGAUGGGGCAGGAGAGGGCAAGACCAUGGGAAUAUACCUACACUCAAUUUUUUAGCAGGUUACCCCCGUGGUGGUAGUUUUGGGGACUGGAGACUCAGGA